UUUCUUUCAGGAUAAACAGUGUGCUCUCACAAGACCGUUGUGCAGUUUUACCCGGUAAAGCAAAUGCUUAGAGGUCUUGAGGCCAAAAUUAUCUCAGUGGAUUCUCAAACUUUAAAUGGGUGAGAAGCCUCCUGGCUCACUGGUGUGGAGGCAGCCAUGGAAUGCAGGUGCCUAGUGGGUCGCUUUCAGUCAGCAGAACUGGUGCUGGGAUGAACCA
rnacentral:ncRNA from 1 species